rfam:Schistosoma curassoni strain Dakar, Senegal genome assembly, scaffold: SCTD_scaffold0000155
AUCCAGCUGACAAGUCCUGAAUAGGACGAAAGGCGUAUCCUGGAU